rnacentral:rRNA from 1 species
GGUUCUGAGAGGAUUAUCCCCCACACUGGUACUGAGACACGGACCAGACUCCUACGGGAGGCAGCAGUGAGGAAUAUUGGUCAAUGGACGCGAGUCUGAACCAGCCAUCCCGCGUGCAGGAUGACGGCCCUAUGGGUUGUAAACUGCUUUUCUACGCCAAGAAACACUAUUACGUGUAAGAGUUUGACGGUAGCGUAGGAAUAAGCAUCGGCUAACUCCGUGCCAGCAGCCGCGGUAAUACGGAGGAUGCAAGCGUUAUCCGGAUUCAUUGGGUUUAAAGGGUGCGCGGGCGGGCUUGUAAGUCAGUGGUGAAAUACUGCCGCUUAACGGUAGAACUGCCAUUGAUACUGCAAGUCUUGAAUAUGGUUGAGGUAGGCGGAAUGUGUCGUGUAGCGGUGAAAUGCAUAGAUAUGACACAGAACGCCGAUUGCGAAGGCAGCUUACUAAGCCAUUGUUGACGCUGAGGCACGAAAGCGUGGGGAGCGAACAGGAUUAGAUACCCUGGUAGUCCACGCCGUAAACGAUGUCCACUCGCUGUCUGCGAUACACAGUAGGCGGCUGAGCGAAAGCAUUAAGUGAACCACCUGGGGAGUACGAUCGCAAGGUUGAAACUCAAAGGAAUUGACGGGGGCCCGCACAAGCGGAGGAACAUGUAGUUUAAUUCGAUGAUACGCGAGGAACCUUACCUGGGCUUAAAUGUAGAUUGCAUAACUUAGAAAUAGGUUUUCCCUUCGGGGCUAUUUACAAGGUGCUGCAUGGUUGUCGUCAGCUCGUGCCGUGAGGUGUCGGGUUAAGUCCCAUAACGAGCGCAACCCUUAUCGUUAGUUGCCAGCGGGUCAAGCCGGGGACUCUAGCGAGACUGCCACCGUAAGGUGAGAGGAAGGUGGGGAUGACGUCAAAUCAGCACGGCCCUUAUGUCCAGGGCUACACACGUGUUACAAUGGUCGGUACAAAGGGCAGCUACUUGGUGACAAGAUGCUAAUCCCUAAAGCCGAUCCCAGUUCGGAUUGGAGUCUGCAACCCGACUCCAUGAAGUUGGAUUCGCUAGUAAUCGGAUAUCAGCCAUGAUCCGGUGAAUACGUUCCCGGGCCUUGUACACACCGCCCGUCAAACCAUGGGAGCUGGGGGUGCCUGAAGUCUGCCACCGAAAGGAGCGGCCUAGGGUAAAACUAGUGACUGGGGUUAAGUCGUAACAAGGUA